UAUAUGUCCAGCAGCAAGAAAACAGGAUGAAGCAAACGUGCCUUAGCAACUGUCUGAAACUGUUGUUGUCAUAAAUUCCAGAAUUCCAGCUGGGAGAGGAGGCCCAGUUGAUGGAAGUAGAAUGUGACGUAGCCCAGUGCCAAGAAGACACCCAGUGAGGGUAUUUGACUCUGCACCUUUCAGUCUCCCAACUACAUAUCCCAUGUCCACCAGAAGGAGGCAUCACUCUGCUAAAAGAGCACACUGCAGGAUGAAGCUCCUAACAAAGUGAUUUAAUGAGGCAUCCCAAAGCUAAAAAAGUAUUCCUGAUUUCUGGAAGCUUGCUUGUUCUUUUGUUACACUAUAGAUCACGAUUUGUUUAUUACUUUCUUUGGAUUAAUCAGUGAUGACCAGUUUGGUGCCCCAGUAUUUUGUCUUUUGGACCUGCACUACUUCAUUCAACCACAGUAUCCACCCAUAUUUGACAUAAGAAAAUUAUGUUUUGGCACUUUUAUAAUAUUAAAUAACUUGCUUUAUAGUAGAUGUCUUUUUUCUUUGACGCUUCUCCAGCAUAUGAAUGUUCAUUUGUUUUUAUGAUGGCUGAAGAACUAUGACCUGGCUAUGCUCUGCCCAUCAUCCCGUCCUUGUGUUCCACCAGAUAAUAAAACCACCCUGGUAUCUCACCCAUGUUGUAUGAUAAUUCUAGAUAAUAUAAGGGGGGCCUGCCCCCAACAGAUGCACUAUGUUGCUAAAAUAAUUCUCCAAUUAAGGAGGACUUUUUUUCCCCAAAUGUUAUUUUUAA